GCGAGCGUGGCGAAAUUGGUAAACGCAAUGGACUUAAAAUCCAUCGCCCGUAUGGGCUUGCGGGUUCAAGUCCCGCCGCUCGCACCA
rnacentral:tRNA from 1 species